UACGGGGGGAGCAAGCGUUGUUCGGAUUUACUGGGCGUAAAGGGCGCGUAGGCGGCCACUACAAGUCAGUUGUGAAAUCUCCGGGCUUAACCCGGAAAGGUCAACUGAUACUGCAGGGCUAGAGUGCAGAAGGGGCAACUGGAAUUCUCGGUGUAGCGGUGAAAUGCGUAGAUAUCGAGAGGAACACCUGCGGCGAAGGCGGGUGCUGGGCUGACACUGACGCUGAGGCGCGAAAGCCAGGGGAGCGAACGGG
rnacentral:rRNA from 1 species